GCCAGAGUGCUGGAACCGGUAGACAGGCACGCUUCAGGAGCGUGUGCUCUUUAUGAGCGUAGGAGUUCGAUUCUCCUCUCUGGCACUA
rnacentral:tRNA from 1 species